rnacentral:rRNA from 1 species
UGGGGAAUUUUGGACAAUGGGCGAAAGCCUGAUCCAGCAAUGCCGCGUGUGUGAAGAAGGCCUUCGGGUUGUAAAGCACUUUUGUCCGGAAAGAAAUCCUUGGCUCUAAUACAGUCGGGGGAUGACGGUACCGGAAGAAUAAGCACCGGCUAACUACGUGCCAGCAGCCGCGGUAAUACGUAGGGUGCAAGCGUUAAUCGGAAUUACUGGGCGUAAAGCGUGCGCAGGCGGUUUGCUAAGACCGAUGUGAAAUCCCCGGGCUCAACCUGGGAACUGCAUUGGUGACUGGCAGGCUAGAGUAUGGCAGAGGGGGGUAGAAUUCCACGUGUAGCAGUGAAAUGCGUAGAGAUGUGGAGGAAUACCGAUGGCGAAGGCAGCCCCCUGGGGCCAAAUACUGACGCUCAUGCACGAAAAGCGUGGGGAGCAAACAGGAUUAGAUACCCUGGUAGUCCACGCCCUAAAACGAUGUCCAACUAGUUGUUGGGGAUUCAUUUCCUUAGUAACGUAGCUAACGCGUGAAGUUGACCGCCUGGGGAGUACGGUCGCAAGAUUAAAACUUAAAGGAAUUGACGGGGUCAUAGCUGUUUCCU